rnacentral:tRNA from 1 species
GCCCCUAUAGCUCAACGGACAGAGCGCGAGCCUCCGGAGCUCGAGAUAGAGGUUCGAUUCCUCUUAGGGGCGCAA